rnacentral:rRNA from 1 species
ACCAUUACGCCAGCAUCCUAGCCGAAGCGCGGACCUCAGUCCCGGCUGGCCGUAUUACACCCUGGGCUAUAACACCUCCACCGAAGUGGAGGCCACAUUCCCAGAGCCUUUAUCCGGCCGCCGAAACUGAUGCUGGCCUGUCCAAACUGAGUAAACCGGUCAGAAGACCGGCCGAACAGUUUAAACAAGUCUGAUUGCAAGCGCUUCCCUUUCAACAAUUUCACGUGCUUUUUAACUCUCUUUCCAAAGUGCUUUUCAUCUUUCGAUCACUCUACUUGUGCGCUAUCGGUCUCUCGCCAAUAUUUAGCUUUAGAAGAAAUUUACCUCCCAUUUAGAGCUGCAUUCCCAAACAACUCGACUCGUCGAAGGAGAUUUACAUAGGGUGCCAUUUCCUGUCACAUACGGGAUUCUCACCCUCUAUGACGUCCUGUUCCAAGGAACUUAGACAGGCGGCUUCCCCAAAUCAUCCUCUACAAAUUACAAUGCGAACCCGAAGGCUAGCUUUCAAAUUUGAGCUGUUGCCGCUUCACUCGCCGUUACUAGGGCA